rnacentral:rRNA from 1 species
AUUGAACGCUGGCGGCAGGCCUAACACAUGCAAGUCGAGCGGAUGAAGGGAGCUUGCUCCUGGAGUCAGCGGCGGACGGGUGAGUAAUGCCUAGGAAUCUGCCUGGUAGUGGGGGAUAACGUCCGGAAACGGGCGCUAAUACCGCAUACGUCCUGAGGGAGAAAGUGGGGGAGCUUCGGACCUCACGCUAUCAGAUGAGCCUAGGUCGGAUUAGCUAGUUGGUGGGGUAAAGGCCUACCAAGGCGACGAUCCGUAACUGGUCUGAGAGGAUGAUCAGUCACACUGGAACUGAGACACGGUCCAGACUCCUACGGGAGGCAGCAGUGGGGAAUAUUGGACAAUGGGCGAAAGCCUGAUCCAGCCAUGCCGCGUGUGUGAAGAAGGUCUUCGGAUUGUAAAGCACUUUAAGUUGGGAGGAAGGGCAGUAAGUUAAUACCUUGCUGUUUUGACGUUACCAACAGAAUAAGCACCGGCUAACUUCGUG